rnacentral:rRNA from 1 species
ACGGCUCAGUAACACGUAGUCAACAUGCCCAGGGGACGUGGAUAACCUCGGGAAACUGAGGAUAAACCGCGAUAGGUCAUCACUUCUGGAAUGGGUAAUGACUUAAAUCUACAUGGCCCCUGGAUUGGACUGCGGCCGAUCAGGCUGUUGGUGAGGUAAUGGCCCACCAAACCUGUAACCGGUACGGGCUCUGAGAGGAGGAGCCCGGAGAUGGGCACUGGGACAAGGGCCCAGGCCCUAUGGGGCGCAGCAGGCGCGAAACCUCUGCAAUAGGCGAAAGCUUGACAGGGUUACUCUGAGUGAUUUCCGUUAAGGAGAUCUUUUGGCACCUCUAAAAAUGGUGCAGAAUAAGGGGUGGGCAAGUCUGGUGUCAGCCGCCGCGGUAAUACCAGCACCCCGAGUGGUCGGGACGUUUAUUGGGCCUAAAGCAUCCGUAGCCGGUUCUACAAGUCUUCCGUUAAAUCCACCUGCUUAACAGAUGGGCUGCGGAAGAUACUAUAGAGCUAGGAGGCGGGAGAGGCAAGCGGUACUCGAUGGGUAGGGGUAAAAUCCGUUGAUCCAUUGAAGACCACCAGUGGCGAAGGCGGCUUGCCAGAACGCGCUCGACGGUGAGGAUGAAAGCUGGGGG